rnacentral:tRNA from 1 species
UGGCUCAGUUGGUAGAGCAUGGCGCUUUCAACGCCAAGGAUAGUGGGUUCUAUUCCCGC